rnacentral:rRNA from 1 species
UACGGAGGAUCCAAGCGUUAUCCGGAUUUAUUGGGUUUAAAGGGUGCGUAGGCGGAUUGAUAAGUUAGAGGUGAAAUGUCCGAGCUUAACUCGGGAACUGCCUCUAAUACUGUUGAUCUAGAGAGUAGAUGCGGUAGGCGGAAUGUAUGGUGUAGCGGUGAAAUGCUUAGAGAUCAUGCAGAACACCGAUUGCGAAGGCAGCUUACCAAUCUAUAUCUGACGUUGAGGCACGAAAGCGUGGGGAGCAAACAGG